UAGGGAAUCUUCCACAAUGGGCGCAAGCCUGAUGGAGCAACACCGCGUGAGUGAAGAAGGGUUUCGGCUCGUAAAGCCCUGUUGUUAAAGAAGAACACGUAUGAGAGUAACUGUUCAUACGUUGACGGUAUUUAACCAGAAAGUCACGGCUAACUACGUGCC
rnacentral:rRNA from 1 species